AUUGAACGCUGGCGGCAGGCCUAACACAUGCAAGUCGAACGAGUGGCGGACGGGUGUGUAAUGUCUGUGACACUGCCUGAUGGCUGGGGAUAAUUCCUGGAACCGGUAGCUAAUACCGCAUACCUUCAGCUGUUCCCUGAUGGGAUUAGCUUGUUGGUGGGGUAACGGCUCACCAAGGCGACGAUCCCUAGCUGGUCUGAGAGGAUGACCAGCCACACUGGAACUGAGACACGGUCCAGACUCCUACGGGAGGCAGCAGUGGGGAAUAUUGCACAAUGGGCGAAAGCCUGAUAGAGCCAUGCCGCGUGUAUGAAGAAGGCCUUCGGGUUGUAAAGUACUUUCAGCGGGGAGGCGUUACCCACACAGGAAGCACCGGCUAACUCCGUGCCAGCAGCCGCGGUAAUAC
rnacentral:rRNA from 1 species